ACUAUUUUGGCAGACAAGUGCGUUGGAUUUAGGAUCUAUUAAUGUAAUUUUUUAUUUACAGGUAGUA
rnacentral:tRNA from 1 species